rnacentral:rRNA from 1 species
AUUGAACGCUGGCGGCAGGCCUAACACAUGCAAGUCGAGCGGAUGACGGGAGCUUGCUCCUUGUUUCAGCGGCGGACGGGUGAGUAAUGCCUAGGAAUCUGCCUGGUAGUGGGGGACAACGUUUCGAAAGGAACGCUAAUACCGCAUACGUCCUACGAGAGAAAGCAGGGGACCUUCGGGCCUUGCGCUCUCAGAUGAGCCUAGGUCGGAUUAGCUAGUUGGUGGGGUAAUGGCUCACCAAGGCGACGAUCCGUAACUGGUCUGAGAGGAUGAUCAGUCAAACUGGAACUGAGACACGGUCCAGACUCCUACGGGAGGCAGCAGUGGGGAAUAUUGGACAAUGGGCGAAAGCCUGAUCCAGCCAUGCCGCGUGUGUGAAGAAGGUCUUCGGAUUGUAAAGCACUUUAAGUUGGGAGGAAGGGCAGUAAGCUAAUACCUUGCUGUUUUGACGUUACCGACAGAAUAAGCACCGGCUAACUCUGUGCCAGCAGCCGCCGUAA